GGUUAAGCGACUAAGCGUACACGGUGGAUGCCCUGGCAGUCAGAGGCGAUGAAGGGCGUGCUAAUCUGCGAUAAGCGCCGGUAAGGUGAUAUGAACCGUUAUAACCGGCGAUACCCGAAUGGGGAAACCCAGUGUGAUUCGUCACACUAUCAUUAACUGAAUCCAUAGGUUAAUGAGGCGAACCGGGGGAACUGAAACAUCUAAGUACCCCGAGGAAAAGAAAUCAACCGAGAUUCCCCCAGUAGCGGCGAGCGAACGGGGAGGAGCCCAGAGCCUGAAUCAGCAUGUGUGUUAGUGGAAGCGUCUGGAAAGGCGCGCGAUACAGGGUGACAGCCCCGUACACAAAAGCGCAU
rnacentral:rRNA from 7 species